GACGAACGCUGGCGGCGUGCCUAAUACAUGCCAGUUGAGCGCUGAAGGCUGGUACUUGUACCAACUGGAUGAGCAGCGAACGGGUGAGUAACGCGUGUGGAAUCUGCCUUUGAGCGGGGGACAACAUUUGGAAACGAAUGCUAAUACCGCAUAAAAACUUUAAACACAAGUUUUAAGUUUGAAAGAUGCAAUUGCAUCACUCAAAGAUGAUCCCGCGUUGUAUUAGCUAGUUGGUGAGGUAAAGGCUCACCAAGGCGAUGAUACAUAGCCGACCUGAGAGGGUGGUCGGCCGCCUUGGGACGGUGACACGGCCCAAACUCCUACGGGAGGCAGCAGUAGGGAAUCUUCGGCAAUGGGCGGAAGUCUGACCGAGCAACGCCGCGUGAGUGAAGAAGGUUUUCGGAUCGUAAAACUCUGUUGGUAGAGAAGAACGUUGGUGAGAGUGGAAAGCUCAUCAAGUGACGGUAACUACCCAGAAAGCGACGGCUAACUACGUG
rnacentral:rRNA from 1 species